rnacentral:rRNA from 1 species
UACGGAGGUGGCAAGCGUUGCUCGGAAUCACUGGGCGUAAAGGGCGCGUAGGCGGGGAGGUAAGUCGGGUGUGAAAUCCCUCGGCCCAACUGAGGAACUGCGCCCGAGACUGCUUCUCUUGAGUCCCGGAGAGGAAGAUGGAAUUCCCGGUGUAGCGGUGAAAUGCGCAGAUAUCAGGAGGAACACCGGUGGCGAAGGCAGCUCGCUGGGACGUUACUGACGCUGAGACGCGAAAGCCAGGGGAGCGAACGGG